GCAGGCUUAAUAUCGCAUCGCAUUCAAAAAUCUCCAUACAAUUGUAAACAACGUCGAGUUCAAAUGUUUCAAUUUCGGCUAAAGUGGUCACAAUUUGCUCAGAUCUCGUGUUCUGCGUGACAUAUUGUUUAGCGUAUAUAUUAAUGGCAUCACAAUACAUAAUAUGGAAUCGCUGAAUCGCAUAGAAUGGAAUAAUUUUAGCUCGAUAAUAUAUCGUACUGUAUUAGCCAAUCUUCUUUGGAAUGCUGACAAAAAUUUAUCAGUAUGCAUUUUUCACUCAGAUGACAAAAUUGUGGUCAAAGGUAAUUUAUUUCGUAAAUUUUUUAUGUUAUAUUCAUUUUGCGUUUACAAA